GCCUAACACAUGCAAGUCGAGCGAAUGAGGGUAGCUUGCUACCUGAUUUAGCGGCGGACGGGUGAGUAAUGUAUAGGGAGCUGCCCGAUAGAGGGGGAUACCAGUUGGAAACGACUGUUAAUACCGCAUAAUGUCUACGGACCAAAGUGUGGGACCUUCGGGCCACAUACUAUCGGAUGCACCUAUAUGGGAUUAGCUAGUUGGUGGGGUAAUGGCUCACCAAGGCGACGAUCCCUAGCUGGUUUGAGAGGAUGAUCAGCCACACUGGAACUGAGACACGGUCCAGACUCCUACGGGAGGCAGCAG
rnacentral:rRNA from 1 species